UGAAACUGAAACGAAAACUGAUAAUCAUAAACAUGUAUGGGUAAUUUAGGAGUACUUACUUGAGCUCGGCUGAUUGCAUGCACCACACCCUUUUUCUCUUUUUCAAAGUUAUUUUCUUUCUAAAUAUUCUUUUCGCUUUUUCUAAAACUCUUUUCUUUUCUCAAACUUCUUUUUAAAAAGAUUCUUUUCGAAAAUGUUUUUCUUUUGAAAACCUUUUUUACUAUUUCCUUAGUUUGAGUUUAGACACACCCGAAAGUGUAUCCGAAUCCCUCAAACCAAGGCUCUGAUACCAACUUCAAACAUCCCAAAAAUACAACCCAAAUUUUUUUUGAUAGAAAAAAUUACUAAAACCAUAUUUAUAAAACCGUCUCAUAAGUCAUACAUAAUUUCAUAGUAUUAAUUCAAAACAAAACUUAUUAUCAGAGUAAAACAUCCCAGGCUAGCUGACUAUGGUGUGUGCACUGCAACCGGUCCGAGCUUCUCUUUUGAAAACUGAGUACCUGAAACCAAAAACUGAAACCGUAAGCACGAAGCAUAGUGAGCUCCCCCAAACUAACACAUACCAUACAAAAAUAUAAUGCAGAUACUGGGCCUUGCCCACUACAUCGGACCGAGGUCCGGACUAACUGGGGCCUUGCCCCCUGCAACAGACUGAAGUCCGGAAACUGACUGGGACCUUCUCCCCUGCAUCAGACUGAAGUCCGGACUAACUAGCGCCUUGCCCCCUGCAACAGACUGAAGUCCGGAAACUGACUGGGACCUUCUCCCCUGCAUCAGACUGAAGUCCGGACUAACUAGCGCCUUGCCCCCUGCAACAGACUGAAGUCCGGAAACUGACUGGGACCUUGUCCCCUGCAUUGGACCGAAGUCUGGACUAACUGAGGCCUUGCCCCUGCAUCGG
rnacentral:lncRNA from 1 species